GUGGCAUAUCCAAGAUUUCAAAGAGUUUCAGGCAGUGCCAGACAGCACUAAUUCUUGUUACUCUCAUCAUGGAAAUUAAGCAGCAAUAGUAGCUGCUCAUCUGAUAGCAAUUAGAAAGUUCCUGACAGCUAUUUUUAUUUGGAGUAUGACAAACAAAGUGUAUCUAGCCUUAUAAGUCACAGGAUCAUAGUCCAUCUGCUGAAGAAUUAUUGCAUCUUCAAGUACUAUUUUUUUUAAAAAAAAACUACCAUCACCAAUAGUGUUAUAAAGGAAGAAGAGUCAUUAGAAAACCUGUCAUCAGAAAGUGCAAAUCCAAACACAGCUUGGCCUGGACAGUCUUUGGAAUUUGCUGGAAUGUUCUAGUACUUUUAUUUAUGAGCCAAAUGUUUAAGCAACGUUGUAGUUGUGUAACCGACUGGAAAACAUGGAAAACCAUUUGUAAUUUCCUAUGGGAUGCUAUAUCCAAGUUCUUCAAAUUACAGGAUGAACCUACAUUUUUAUUUUUAAAAAGGGCAGAAUGUUUUUGUUUCAAAGGUUUCACUGAAACAUCACAUUAUAAGUUUGUCACGUCUUGGUAAUAAUCUUGAAACCUGUUAAAUCCCUUUGCCUAUUUCUAUCACUUUCCACAGAAUACUUAGUAAGAGUAAAGAAUGUUUAACAAAGAUGUUCAGUGUUGUAAGUUGAGCCCUCUCAGAAAACACCA